rnacentral:rRNA from 9 species
UUACAGAGGUCUCGUUAACCGAGAUCUCUCAAACGGAAUGAGUACAACGUGAAUCCUUUAACGAGGAUCGACUGGAGGGCAAGCCUGGUGCCAGCAGCCGCGGUAAUUCCAGCUCCAGUAGCGUAUAUUAAAGCUGUUGCGGUUAAAAAGCUCGUAGUUGGAUAUCAGUGCGUGUCCGGUCCGGCAUGCCCGGUGCGUGGUGGCGGCAACGCUCACGACGCCCGGGCUCCCAAAUGUCGGCUGGCCGCAUUCAAUGCGUGUCGGACGCGUCGGCGGCCGUUCUUCGGAGGGGCCUGCCGGCGGCCGGCGGUGUUACCUUGAACAAAUUAGAGUGCUCAAAGCAGGCUCUCAAUGCCUGUAUACAUAUUCAUGGAAUUGGAGAAUACGUCCCUGGCUCGAUUUGGUUGGUUUUGAGAGUCGAAGGGAAAUGAUUAAUAGGGACUGACGGAGGCAUUCGUAUUGCGACGCGAGGGGUGAAAUCCUGUG